ensembl:lncRNA
UACAUCUCCUUCUGAUAGGUUUAACAAUAAGGAUUUUGGGUUACACUUUAUUUUAAGGUGUCCUUGUUACAUAUGUUACAUGUACUUACUAUUAUAAUAACAAUUAAUUAUUCAUAAUUACAUGCAAGUAACCCUAAGCCAAACCCUAAGUAUUACUCAGUACUUAAAGGGAUACUCCACCCCAAAAUGAAAAUUUUGUCAUUAAUUACUUACCCCCAUGUCGUUCCAAACCUGUAAAACCUUUGUUCGUCUUCGGAACACAAUUUAAGAUAUUCUGGUUGAAAACAGGGAGACUUGUGACUGUCCCAUAGACUGCCAAGCACAAUACACUGUCAAGGUCCAGGAAAGUAUGAAAAGCAUCGUCAGAAUACUCCAUCUGCCAUCAGUGGUUCAACCUUUAUGACUACGCUGAAGCCAUUAGUAUCUAGAUGUUUGAUGUUUUAUAUAAGCCAUUGUUCAUGAUAUUGGCAUAAAAUCUUGUCAAUCUUGUCAGGUGAAGCAUUUAUUAAUUUUUUUUUUUUUUUUAAAUCCUGUAUGUUGGGAAAAUCACAGCUAAUAAUGGAAACAGACUGUGUGGUAGCAGUCAUAUUUGGUUUUUAUUUAAUAGAAUUCUAAUGCUUUAAUUUCUUGUUACAUAAGUGUACUGUCAUAACAACUCCAAGAAACAAUUUACACAAUGCAGUGUACAGCAUGGAUUACGUACAGAGAACAUUCAGCUCCACUGGAGGCCGAACAGGGGAAUUGAUUUUAUAAAGCAUCAUUUGGAGGUUCUUCCUAAUAUCCUAAGUUGAGUCUCUUAAAUGUGAUAUAGUCUCUAUUUGAACUAAUAGUUAAUGUACAAUCCCUUUUUUAUAUCAACAUAUCUGUAAAACGCAAAAAUUAUCAAAUAUUGCCAAUAUUUAGGCUUAUGAGUGAAGAGCUCAAAGAUUUGUAAAUUAGGUUGCGCUGAGGUGAAUGAAUGGAGUUGUCUGAUGUAAAUUACCAGUGACAUUUAUAUGAUACUUUCAGUUUUUUGGGAGGGUGUAUCAUCUAUUCCCACAAUGGGAUGGACAUAACACAUACGGCAUUUGUCUUUUUACACUGCAAAACAAAAAAAAAUUCUUAAUCAGUUUUUUGUCUUCUUUUCCAAGAAAGUAUCUAAACAUUCAUAAAGCAAAAUAAAAUCACUUUCAGAGAAUAUAUUUAUUUAAUUACAUUUUACUUACCCAACUGGUAAACUGUUU